CGUCUAUAUACGUAUAGCAUAUCAAUAAGCGGAGGAAAAGAAACUAACAAGGAUUCCCUUAGUAACGGCGAGUGAAGCGGGAAGAGCUCAAAUUUGAAAUCUUCAAGGUUCUACCUUGACGAAUUGUAGUUUAUAGAAGUGUUUUCUGUUAGUGGAGUGGCAAAAGUUCUUUGGAAUAGGACAUCAUAGAGAGUGAGAAUCCCGUAUUUGGUCAUUCCUCCUAGCGUUGUGAUACACUUUCAACGAGUCGGAUUGUUUGGGAAUGCAGUCCAAAAUGGGUGGUAAAUUUCAUCUAAAGCUAAAUAUUGGCGAGAGACCGAUAGCGAACAAGUACCGUGAGGGAAAGAUGAAAAGAACUUUGAAAAGAGAGUUAAACAGUACGUGAAAUUGUCAAAAGGGAAGCGUUUGACACCAGUGUUGUUUUUCCGAAAAUCAAUUACGAAUGUUUUAUUUUUGAGGAGUUAUGACUUCAUCGGCUUGCUCCUUUCUUUACUGAAACUUUCUUAAUGCACUUUUCGGUUAACAAGUCAACAUCAAUUUCUUUUGUUGUAAAAGGGUAUUAGGAAGGUGGCUUUCUUUUCGGAGAAAGUGUUUAUAGCCUUGUGCCUCUGCAAUCGGAGAGAUUGAGGUCUGCAGCGUAGAUCCUUCGGGGUUAGAUACAUUUGUGCUAAGUUAUAGCCUUUCAUAGACAACUUGUUGACUAUAAUCAUCAUGUAGCUUACUCGCUUAUGGCUAUUUUACCUACGCUUAGGAUGUUGACUGAUAUGUAGUCGUA
rnacentral:rRNA from 1 species